UAUUACCUACGGGACGCAGCAGUGGGGAAUAUUGCACAAUGGGGGAAACCCUGAUGCAGCGACGCCGCGUGAGUGAAGAAGGGUUUCGGCUCGUAAAGCUCUGUUGGUAGUGAAGAAAGAUAGAGGUAGUAACUGGCCUUUAUUUGACGGUAAUUACUUAGAAAGUCACGGCUAACUACGUGCCAGCAGCCGCGGUAAUACGUAGGUGGCAAGCGUUGUCCGGAUUUAUUGGGCGUAAAGCGAGUGCAGGCGGUUUCA
rnacentral:rRNA from 1 species